CCUACGGGAGGCAGCAGUGAGGAAUAUUGGUCAAUGGCCGGAAGGCUGAACCAGCCAUGCCGCGUGAAGGUCAGUGCCCUAUGGGCGUUAAACUUCUUUUGUGCGGGAGCAAUAAUGGUCACGUUUGGCCAGACGAGAGUACCGUACGCGUAAGCAUCGGCUAACUCCGUCCAAGCAGCCGCGGUAAUACGGGGGAUGCAAGCGUUAUCCGGAUUUAUUGGGUUUAAAGGGUGCGUAGGCUGUGAGGUAAGUCAGCGGUGAAAUGCCCCCGCUCAAAGGGGUGAAGUGCCAUUGAUACUGCCUUGCUGGAAUGCGGAUGCGGUGGGAGGAAUGUGUGGUGUAGCGGUGAAAUGCAUAGAUAUCACACAGAACACCGAUUGCGAAGGCAUCUCACGAAUCCGCGAUUGACGCUGAUGCACGAAAGCGUGGGUAUCAAACAGGAUUAGAUACCCGAGUAGUC
rnacentral:rRNA from 1 species